rnacentral:rRNA from 1 species
GACGAACGCUGGCGGCGUGCUUAACACAUGCAAGUCGAACGGAAAGGCCCUGCUUUUGUGGGGUGCUCGAGUGGCGAACGGGUGAGUAACACGUGAGUAACCUGCCCUUGACUUUGGGAUAACUUCAGGAAACUGGGGCUAAUACCGGAUAGGAGCUCCUGCUGCAUGGUGGGGGUUGGAAAGUUUCGGCGGUUGGGGAUGGACUCGCGGCUUAUCAGCUUGUUGGUGGGGUAGUGGCUUACCAAGGCUUUGACGGGUAGCCGGCCUGAGAGGGUGACCGGCAACAUUGGGACUGGGAUACGGCCCGGAUUCCUACGGGAGGCAGCAGUGGGAAUAUUGCACAAUGGGCGGAAGCCUGAUGCAGCAACGCCGCGUGCGGGAUGACGGCCUUCGGGUUGUAAACCGCUUUCGCCUGUGACGAAGCGUGAGUGACGGUAAUGGGUAAAGAAGCACCGGCUAACUACGUG